rnacentral:rRNA from 1 species
UACGUAGGCAGCGAGCGUUGUUCGGAGUUACUGGGCGUAAAGCGUGCGUAGGCGGUGCUCUAAGUCUGUUGUGAAAUCUCCCGGCUUAACCGGGAGGGUGCGGCGGAAACUGGGGUGCUGGAGUGCGGGAGAGGUAAGCGGAAUUCCCGGUGUAGCGGUGAAAUGCGUAGAUAUCGGGAGGAAUACCGGUGGCGAAGGCGGCAUCCUGGACCGACAUUGACGCUGAGGAGCGAAAGCUAGGGGAGCAAACGGG